rnacentral:rRNA from 1 species
GACGUAGGGCGCGAGCGUUGUCCGGAUUUAUUGGGCGUAAAGAGCUCGUAGGCGGCUUGUCGCGUCGACUGUGAAAACCCGAGGCUCAACUUCGGGCUUGCAGUCGAUACGGGCAGGCUAGAGUUCGGUAGGGGAGACUGGAAUUCCUGGUGUAGCGGUGAAAUGCGCAGGAUAUCAGGAGGAACACCAAUUGCGAAGGCAGCUCGCUGGGACGUUACUGACGCUGAGACGCGAAAGCGUGGGGAGCAAACAGG